UACGUAGGCGGCCAUAUAAGUCAGAAGUGAAAGGCUACGGCUUAACCGUAGUAAGCUUUUGAAACUGUAUGGCUUGAGUGCAGGAGAGGAAAGCGGAAUUCCUAGUGUAGCGGUGAAAUGCGUAGAUAUUAGGAAGAACACCAGUAGCGAAGGCGGCUUUCUGGACUGAAACUGACGCUGAGGUACGAAAGCGUGGGGAGCAAACAGGAUUAGAUACCCUGGUAGUC
rnacentral:rRNA from 1 species